UACGUAGGGUGCAAGCGUUAAUCGGAAUUACUGGGCGUAAAGCGUGCGCAGGCGGUUUUGUAAGUCAGAUGUGAAAUCCCCGGGCUUAACCUGGGAACUGCAUUUGGGACUGCAAGGCUUGAGUACAGCAGAGGGGGGUAGAAUUCCUGGUGUAGCAGUGAAAUGCGUAGAUAUCAGGAGGAAUACCGAUGGCGAAGGCAGCCCCCUGGGUUGAUACUGACGCUCAUGCACGAAAGCGUGGGGAGCAAACAGG
rnacentral:rRNA from 1 species